UGCCGGUUGUCGGUUGAGUUCCCGGCUGCCGUGGGCUCCCCAGCGCUGGUUUCUCUAACAGUGCGCCCGGGCGUCCGGCUCUGAGCUCCCCUCGGCGUCGCCCAAACGAGACCCCGGGUGGAGCAGCCCGGCCACCUCCCCCGGCACACAGCCCCACACACCGGUUUUGCGAAAUGGCUUUUCACACUGGCGCUUUCCUCAGACCUCGACUCGCUGCCAACGCCGUGGCUCCAGCUCUCGUAAUCGGCCCUCCUUGUGCUGCCAGCUCCUCACAGGGCCUCAGUUUCCACAUAGAGGUGGCUGCGCCCCAAACCCUUGUCUCUGGCCGUGUUCUCCCAGGCUCCAGAGUUGUAAGUCUGGCUGCUAGGCAUUUACAGCUGGGCAUCCACAGCACAGAGGGAACUCACGGUCUCCCCUAAUCCAGCGCUUUUCAACCCUGUUACGACCACUUGUCCAUCCAGACUUCAUUCUAACUUCUUCCUGACUUCAACAUCCAGCCAAGCACCAAGACUCCAACUGCUAAAGAUCUCUCAAAUCCGUGAUCUCUGUCCAUCCCCAACACCACCCGCUUGAUUCUGGCCGCCGAACUCUUUGGGUGGAGACACUUAAAAGAUGACAUCCUGGAAAGCAGCUGCAAAGGACAGUGACAUAACCCAAGCAGAGAAACUGCCCACAAGUCCAGUAUGACUGUACCUGAAGACUGGGGUGAAAAAAUAUUGUCUGGUUUACCUGCUGGCUUUUGGUGACCUGAGACCGCUGAGGAUUUUGGAUGGAAAUCCUUCUCCUCAGAGCAGCCCACCAUGCCUGGGGCCAUAUUGCAUGCUGUGCUAGACAUUGGAGCCAGCUUCUGACCCCAGGGCCCUGCGGAUGCAGUGUGCUGGGGGUUAAGAGUGCCUGCUUGCAAUCACACCGCAGGGGACAGCCAGGCCUCUAGGCUCCUUGGCCAGGAGUGCAAGGUCAGUGCCCUGACAGACCCUGUCUCCUCUCACUUCCCCUCCAAAGGGUAAAGCCGCUGAGGGUGGAGAAGCUAGCCUGCCCCUCCUCUCACCUCAGGGAAGAAGCAGUGCACUUGGAGACACAAAUAAGAUUUUUUUUUUUUACAUGUAAAAUCACAUUGAGAGUCCAUCUAAACAUCUGUCUUAGCAAUUCAGGUGGAGGACAGGGGAGGGGAGAGAGGCUGUUAGAAGAGGGGGAAUGGCGUGACCUCUCCGAAGACAGACAGACGCUGGCGGAGGGCUGGGGUGUUC